AUUGAACGCUGGCGGCAUGCUUUACACAUGCAAGUCGAACGGUAACAGGGUGCUUGCACCGCUGACGAGUGGCGAACGGGUGAGUAAUGCGUCGGAACGUGCCGAGUAGUGGGGGAUAACGCAGCGAAAGUUGUGCUAAUACCGCAUACGUACUGAGGUAGAAAGUGGGGGACCUUCGGGCCUCACGCUAUUCGAGCGGCCGACGUCUGAUUAGCUAGUAGGUGAGGUAAAGGCUCACCUAGGCGACGAUCAGUAGCGGGUCUGAGAGGAUGAUCCGCCACACUGGGACAGAGUCACGGCCCAGACUCCUACGGGAGGCAGCAGUGGGGAAUUUUGGACAAUGGGCGAAAGCCUGAUCCAGCCAUGCCGCGUGUCUGAAGAAGGCCUUCGGGUUGUAAAGGACUUUUGUCAGGGAGGAAAUCCCUAGUGCUAAUAACACUGGGGGAUGACAGUACCUGAAGAAUAAGCACCGGCUAACUACGUGCCAGCAGCCGCCGUAAGAC
rnacentral:rRNA from 1 species